CAUAUAUGUUGUUACACUACACUACGUGUGACAAUUUUAUGUUAUCGGGCAUAUGUUUAUUGGAAUCAGAUAUGCAGCCGUCACAGCCUGCUGAUGAAAAUCCUCAGCUUAUUAUACAGAGGUCAGGCUUGAGCUAUGUGCUUAUUCAAAAGAUGCUAAUGACAGUGGAUAAUCCAUUCUGAGUUGUUCUAUGACCAUUCACCAACCUUUCAAAACACUGAUUGAACUGAAGGCAGUACAUGUACUGGUGUCUGGCCUGUGAUUUCAACUAUAGACUAUAAUUGAUGUACCUCCUCCUGAUGUCUUUGAAUACAAUAUAUCUGCUAUGUGAAAGGAACAAGCUGCAAGAUAUACUGUGGAAGUGGGGGCCUGUGUAAAAACAUUUUUUUUAAAGAAUAUAAAAAAUCUGACACUAAACUACUGAAAAGGUGCACAGUGGACAUUUUUGUGUGUAUAGACUUUCAUCAAGAUUCUGAGAAAAUUGAUUUAUUAAACAAAAAAAGUCAUAUUGUGUCUUCAAAGCUGAAAAGAUAAAGAUCUUAGGAAACAUUAGGACUCAAGAAAAGUAAUGGGGUAAUGAAACUGUAGUGUUCAACAUUUAAAUUUAAAAACACACUGUUGAAAACUAGCCAACAUGUAAUUGUCACACUUUUUUGGCUGCACAGGGGACACAACUAGCUAUAUAAUUUAAUAUAACUUUAACACUUAGGCCCUUGCUAAAUUUCUAUAAUGAACUUGUCCAUUUUACAAGUUGGACAGUAUUAUUAAGUGUUAAAAGGGGUGCUAACCAAAAGAUACUGACUGAAUGGCGAACAGUGCAGAUCAAGAUCAGACUGCACUAAUGUGCAGGCUGAUCAUGAUCUUCACUUGUCGCAAAGGUAGGUCCACCCAUGAACAGCAUGAUAAGGGUUAAAACUGCUUGAGCCAUUCAACUGAAAUUGCAAAUAUUUGUUGACUACAUUGAUUGGAUAUAUGUAAUUUGCCCCAAAACACUUUAUAACACUGAACUGAAAUAAAAUAAGGUGAGAGAGAAGAAAAAAAGCUUAACUAUUUUUAAAAAAAAAGGCAUUAUCUUUGUUUACAUUAAAUUUAAAUGUGGCUGUCAGGUUGUUAGUUAGAAAUAUGACACAUUAAUUUCUUGUUUUCGAAUUUUAAUUAUUGCAUUUAUGUAUCAAAGAUUGGCAUGGGUGAAAAUGUUACUGAAAAUAUUUAAUCAGUUUUUAUUGAUUAACUCCCUUUUUGGCUUGUGCAGUAUAAAGUUAUGUGCAUAAUUGAAAGUUAUGUAGUACUUUUCUAACCAACUGAUAAACAUUCUGUUUUUGAAAAGUUUGUUGCAUAAAGUUAUAGGAGUUUUUUUUUGUAAUUUACAUGGUGUAGGCCUUUAAGCUGUUUACUUUAAAACCCACCUUGUAUUUUUGAUAAUUUCUUAUGUAAUUAAGUCAUUAAUUUCUAAUGUUUUCUCUUUUAAUUGACCCUAAGUGGCAGUUCUUGUUAACUACAAAACCAUCUACUAUUAUUGGUUAACUAAUUAUUGGAAUAGUGAGCAUUUUAACAUUGUUUCAUCACAAUGCACUCCUUUAUGGGAAUAGAAAGGCAAUAGCACAUUUAACUAUUAAAAGUAAUUAUUAAACUAUGUCAUUUGAAUGAAAACAGCCUUAGACACACCUGAAAAUCAGAUAAAUUUGAAAAUACAUGCAAAGUUUUAAAAAUGUUUUUGGAUUUAAGUUAUAACAUUUUCUUAUUUUUAUCUUCAUUUGGUUAUAAAUGCAACUGAUUGUUUUUGACAACAUUAACAUCUGUUGUCAGGUGUGUUUCGUCCCAAUUUAAUUUUGUGACCCAUACAGUGUUUCCAGGACUCAUCAGUAAGAGAAACACCAUCAACUUGAGUCAACGACAUACAUUUAACAUGUGAACAGAAGUUAAUUAUAAACAUUUUCAAAGGAACAUAGUGAACUGGAACAGUAAAUGGAAAUUAUAAAAGAAAUGAAAACCUGUACAUUUGGCAUUUCAUAGUUCUUUUAAAAAAUCAAAUUUAUCUGAGGAGACAGUGAAUAUAAAAUUUUACUUAAAAUUAUUGUUGUAAAUCAUACUGAAAUCUAAAACUUACUGGUAAUAUAAUUUUGAUCAAUAGCAUAGAGUUAAGAUUUUCUGAUAUUUUUGGAAAGAUUUGAAAAACAUUGUACUUUAAAUGUCUAACCAAUAUUUUAGAUCAAAUUAUGAAACGCCAUAUUUAUUUAUAAAUGAAUAAAACUGUUGUCAGCUUAUAAAAAAUUCUGUUAACUUUAAUAAAUUAUACUUAAAUAUU
rnacentral:lncRNA from 1 species